rnacentral:rRNA from 1 species
AGUGAACGCUGGCGGUGGGCCUAACACAUGCAAGUCGAACGGCAGCACAGUAAGAGCUUGCUCUUACGGGUGGCGAGUGGCGGACGGGUGAGGAAUACAUCGGAAUCUACUUUUUCGUGGGGGAUAACGUAGGGAAACUUACGCUAAUACCGCAUACGACCUACGGGUGAAAGCAGGGGAUCUUCGGACCUUGCGCGAUUGAAUGAGCCGAUGUCGGAUUAGCUAGUUGGCGGGGUAAAGGCCCACCAAGGCGACGAUCCGUAGCUGGUCUGAGAGGAUGAUCAGCCACACUGGAACUGAGACACGGUCCAGACUCCUACGGGAGGCAGCAGUGGGGAAUAUUGGACAAUGGGCGCAAGCCUGAUCCAGCCAUACCGCGUGGGUGAAGAAGGCCUUCGGGUUGUAAAGCCCUUUUGUUGGGAAAGAAAAGUAGCAGGUUAAUACCCCGCUGUUCUGACGGUACCCAAAGAAUAAGCACCGGCUAACUUCGUG